rnacentral:lncRNA from 1 species
AUUGUUUUCGAAAAUCUAAUUUUUUCAUAAUUCUUUAAAGUAAUAAACUUUUUUCAAAUAAAUUCUGAUCUUUCCUCAUCUGAUCACCGGCAUGGAUAAAGGUAUUACUUCCAAAGGUAUUGUGAGGGGUGUGAGGUGACACGUCCAGGUAUUCAAGCGAUUUCCUGUCGGGCUUGCAAGUUCAUGCAUCAUUUCACUUCUGCAGGUAUUGAUCAGUGUACACGGCCAAUAACUUAUAACUUUCCAUUUUGAGCUAUCAGAUGUAUAAUAUACAACUCUGUCUUACUU